GAAACUUGGGGGUGUGAGAGCCGGUGGGCGGGCUAGAGGGCCCGUGUACUGGCGGCACGUGUGUGCCUGUCGUGAUUGCCUGCGAGUGUGGUCCAGGCAGGGUGUUGCAGGGGAACAGCCAGUAUGCCAAGCUCCCGCGGGAGGGAGGUGUGCUUGCUGGUGUGUUGUGCGGAGUCCUAGGUAUGCAAUUGGGGGCGUAGGUUCAGGACAAUUCUGUGGCCCGUUGUUAAGGUCCCCAUAGAAAAGGACCCUGUAAAUAAAUGUCAAGUCUGUGCCACUGAUCACUGACUAGAUCAUGUGUGCUGCAGACGGCUUCUGGAGGAUUGUCGACUGUAACUACUGCAGCUGUCUUUGAGAGGCUUCGUGGGAACUGUCACUUCCGUCCCCCAUCCGUGUGUAACUGAACCACUGUGGGAUCUGGGGUGACUUAAGUGUGUCAUUCCUCACAGGGGCCUGGGUGAUGGGAUUGUGCACAUAGGACCUUGAAGUAGAUAGAGUGUGGGCUUUCUGUGGCUCACUCAGCACUGUUGUGGUUAGUGUGUGUACGAAUGGUAUUUGUGGGUCUGUGCCCUUGUUUGUGGCUGUCUUGGAUGCUUUCUUGGAUGUUACGUGGUAGACCUGAGUCUGGACAUAGUUCCUCUGUGGACCAGUCACAAGGCAGUGAAACCAGUGAACUUUGGUGCCUGACGUAGCAGCGGGCACAUGAUGGGGGCGAGUUGCUGGUUGUGUUACGCUCCUGUGUCUGCCUCUGUGGGCAGAACAGACAGUGCACACACCCGCACCUAGAUGCUGAGUGUCUGAGCCAAUCUUAUCUGUCCCCAGCGAAUGAGGCUGCUCUGCCACAGAGCUGAGUCAGCUGUGAUGGGCAAAGUCUUGAUGGGGUGAGAGAUAGUGGGCUAAGUGGUGGUUACAGGGUUCGGCAGUCACGUGGUUAGAUGGUUGCUUUAGUACUUGCUCAUGGAGCAGGGUCCAUGUGUGUGGGAGGAUGGCCAGUGUGCUGAUCCCUGCUGGGGGUGGGGCAUGUGCCCAUGGUCAGCCUGUAGAUAGAAGCAAGCCCCCUUCUGCCUCUCAAGUGCUGAGAUUAUAAGCACGGGCCACUUUGGCUGGCUCUGUGGUUUUUCAUCUCAUACACAUCCCUCCCUGGUGUGGGGUUUUACACAGGCCUGUACAACUUCCCUCUCUGCCCGUAAGACUGGGAAAAGGCCCUUCAUGACCCAUCCAAGCUUCCUCCCGAGUUCCCUGAACCUAGCAAAGCUCUUCACUUUUGACAACACAUUGUUGCCAGAGGCUGGCCAGUGCUGUGGUUCCAACACUCUGCUGGGGGAUCCAUAAGACCCCAUUCCCUUUCCUUCCUGUCUGCUGUCACCUGCUUAGCUAGGCCUUCUUUGACAGACUGGCUCAUUUCUGCCCAGGCUGGUCUCAAGCCGUCCUCCUGCCUCAGGCUCUCAAAUGCUAGUAUGAGUACAGGCCACGAGCCCACUUCUUUUCUAAACAAGUGUGUGGAGGAGGUCAGAAGAUAACGUGUGAGUCAGUUCCCUCCCUCUAACAAGCAAGUUCCAGGGACUGAACUUAGGACACCUGGCAUGGUAGCAAGUGUGGUUAUCCACUGAGCUACCUCAAUGGCCUCCACACCCAUCUCUUUUCUCUUUAGAGACAGGCUCUCACUAUGUCUCUGUCUGGACUUAAAACUUGUAUUGGUUCUCCUGCAUGCUGGAAUUACAGGCUUAUAUGCCAUGUUGCAUUUUGUUAAUCUCUAGGAAUAUAGGAAUCUUCACUCACAUUGCGCAGGGCCCUACAAAAGCUGCCAUGUUUUUUUAAAUGAGUAUAGCUUGGUGCCUAUCUUCCAUGGUGUGGGGUCGUGGAAUACACACCUGUCACCCGGAGUGUGGUUUUAAGCAGUUGGGCCUUGCAUCUGAGUGCUGGAUGCCACGCCUACCUGCAUGUGAUAUGCUGACAUCACCCUGUAGGGCCAGCUGUACCUGUCUCCCUGUACCAGACUGCCAUAUCCUAGCAAAUACAUGGUGUGAGUCUCUGGUUGGAAACUGAUAUGUUCUGCCUUGUUAUUUUCUGUUCUAUACAAGAUCACUACAUCCCUGAACCAUUUCUAGAAAUGAAGAAUGGCCAAGGAGAUGUGUGUUGGGUGCCCAAGUGACAAGAACCAGGUGAUCAGUUGCUGUGUCACUUUGGGAAAUAAUUCCAAUUACUAUCUAGGUAUUGUUGAGGGCUUGGCUUUUUCUUUUUGUUGAGAUGAGGUGAGGUUUUACUAUGUAGCUCAGGAUGACUUUGAACUUGCAAUUUUCUUGCCUCUACAUCAAGAUGUCAAGGCAUUUUGUAAGUGUAGUUAAAGCAAAUGGUGGUGCAGCCCUGUAAUCCUAGGAGUUGCGAGCCUGAAGCAGGAGGAUUGAUCCCAAGUUCAAGACUAGCUUGGGCUACAUAAUGAGACUCUAUCUCAAAAAGAAAGUUGAACAUGGCGCUCUGCAUCGAAUCUGUCAUCACCAACCCUUGUGUGGAGAAGAGGGAGGUGAAGACAGGACAAUCAGCUGGGAGCUCCUAGGCCAGCUAGCCUGGAGUGUGGUGCACGAGACACAACAGGAUGACAAAGGACAUUCCUGCCUCAGACCAAGAGGAAAGGAGACCUACUCCACCCAAGGCCAUCUCUCCCUCCACACAUGGGUGCAUCUUCCAUGCAUAUACACACACACAGAGGAACGCUUGGGAAGUUGAGGCAGUUGACAGCUGAGUUGGACGGCAGCCUGGACUAGGCUAUGGAGUGAGACCCUGUCUCCAGGCUCAAGAUCAGUGACUUUAGGCUUCCACAUGCCCUGAACUUCCUCAUCCUGCGUAGAAAGCCUGCCUGACCACUCUGGUCCAGACUCCUGUCGUCACAGCCUUCUGUCCUUGGAGCUGCCCCUCUUUUGUCUUGAAUCUGUCACUCCACUGAACAAGGAGACCUGUGAGGAUUCUCACUUUGGAGCCCUGGCUGGCCU